rnacentral:pre_miRNA from 11 species
UUCGACUGAAAGGUCAAUAUCAGCUGGUAAUUCUGGGCUUACCCCACCGUUAUACGCUUCCCGGAAUUCCAACUGAUAUCCACUUUUUAGUCGAG